AGCACUUGCAGCUGGGUUAGAUGAUCGGCUGCUGCUCUGUCUGCCCUCUGUCAGGUGUCAUUUCCCCCAGCUCCUGCUGAGAAAGAAUUCAAUUUGCAUCAUCUAAAAAUUAAGCUGAUUCAGAGCCUGAAAUCAAGGGAAGGAAAUGUCCUGGGAAGUACUGAAGAAGCCUCAGAGCUGCACGAUCACCUGGGCUCGAUUUCUGCUGCAACUUCAUGGCCCUCAUUGACGUGGGCUUCGUGGACUGGAGUGCAGCGGCGUGAUCACAGCUCACUGCAGCCUCGACCUCUCAGGCUCAAGCCAUCCUCCUGCCUCAGCCUCCCGAGUACCUGGGAUUACAG
rnacentral:lncRNA from 10 species